UACGAAGGGGGCUAGCGUUGCUCGGAAUCACUGGGCGUAAAGGGUGCGUAGGCGGGUCUUUAAGUUAGGGGUGAAAUCCUGGAGCUCAACUCCAGAACUGCCUUUGAUACUGAAGAUCUUGAGUUCGGGAGAGGUGAGUGGAACUGCGAGUGUAGAGGUGAAAUUCGUAGAUAUUGGGAAGAACACCGGUGGCGAAGGCGGCUCUCUGGACCGAGACUGACGCUGAGGCGCGAAAGCGUGGGGAGCAAACAGG
rnacentral:rRNA from 1 species